GAGAGCCUGCGGUAGUAUUACACAGGGUGUCACUCAGGCGCAGAUAAUGAAAAAUAUUUUCUUUUUUUCCUUUUUUUUUUUUUUUUUUUUUGCUCUGGGAGUGACUGUUAUGGUGUAAUGUAAAUGUAUGGCUUGGCUAGCACAUGGAAGGAAUUAAUGACGACAUCCCAAAUAUCAUACUUUGGAAACCAACUUAUCCAUACACAAUGACUCUGUUAGCUGGCUUCUAUGAAGAAUACUUCUGAGAAGCUUGAUGAUAACGGCACUCGACUGGGCAGUGAAGCACGGCAAUCUUGAGAUGGCAGAGAUGGUCGCCAAAGCAGGCGUCGAUGUCAAUGCUAAAUCGGUAAGUGAUGACAGAUGUUUCAUUGGUUUCUUCUGUGUUGGUCUCUCUGGGCGGUAUUUAUGCAUGCACAACUUACAGUGCCACUGCUCGCUCUCUAUAUAUAUGCCUGAAGCUUUGUGAGAAUGGCAUUCUUAAAUGAAUGAGUGAUUCUCUUUCUGGGUAAGUUGCUCAUAGACGAAAUGAUCACACAUAGCAUUUAACCCCUUUUAAGUAUUCAUAAAAAAGCUGCCAAACAACAUAUUUAUUCAUAUAAACAAUAGCUAACCUUAUAAGCUUUAAAUUAGCAACAUUUAGCUACGUUCUCUAGGGGCCUUACUGUGCUUCCAGAUUCACUAUUAUUUUAGUCUUCUCUUUAACCUUUAUUGUACCCUGACAUCUCUUUGGAAAUCAGAUUUCACAGGUACUUGAGUAGGUGAAUUCCAGAGAUAAGAAAUUCUUGAAUUAACUUGUUUGUACACCUUAAACAGAUAAGUAUCUUAAUAUUCCCUCUACUGUGUGCAUUGAGUGGGAGUAUAAAAAAAUAUUUAGAGCGAAUAUUUUCCAAGCUGUAGUUUCCUGAUGUGCUCUCGUUAAGCAUCACCAUUCAUGUUACAAAAAAGCCUUACUGAUCUUUAAGGAGAGCCAAAAUCUUAAAACAAACGCGCUGUGCUUUUGAAAAUAUGUUUACAUUUUAAAAUAUCAUUUACAAGGCUGAAAAAU
rnacentral:lncRNA from 1 species